GAUGAACGCGGCGGCGCGCCUAACACAUGCAAGUCGAACGGUUAAAGCACCUUCGGGUGUGUAUAGAGUGGCGAACGGCUGAGUAACACGUGGGCAACCUGCCCUUUGCAUCGGGACAGCCUCGGGAAACCGUGGUUAAUACCGGAUACUCCAUCUUUCUCACAUGAAAAAGAUGGGAAAGUGUUUAGCGGCAAGGGAUGGGCCCGCGCCCUGUUAGCUUGUUGGUGGGGUAAAAGCCUACCAAGGCAAUGAUGGGUAGCCGGGUUGAGAGACCGACCGGCCAGAUUGGGACUGAGACACGGCCCAGACUCCUACGGGAGGCAGCAGUGGGGAAUCUUGCACAAUGGGCGAAAGCCUGAUGCAGCGACGCCGCGUGCGGGAUGAAGGCCUUCGGGUUGUAAACCGCUUUCAGCAGGGACGAGGCGAAAGUGACGGUACCUGCA
rnacentral:rRNA from 1 species